rnacentral:rRNA from 1 species
GACGAACGCUGGCGGCGUGCUUAACACAUGCAAGUCGAACGGAAAGGCCCUGCUUUUGUGGGGUGCUCGAGUGGCGAACGGGUGAGUAACACGUGAGUAACCUGCCCUUGACUUUGGGAUAACGUCAGGAAACUGGGGCUAAUAUCGGAUAGGAGCUCCUGCUGCAUGGUGGGGGUUGGAAAGUUUCGGCGGUUGGGGAUGGACUCGCGGCUUAUCAGCUUGUUGGUGGGGUAGUGGCUUACCAAGGCUUUGACGGGUAGCCGGCCUGAGAGGGUGACCGGCCACAUUGGGACUGAGGUACGGCCCAGACUCCUACGGGAGGCAGCGGUGGGGAAUAUUGCACAAUGGGCCGAAGCCUGAUGCAGCGGCGCCGCGUGCGGGAUGACGGCCUUCGGGUUGUAAACCGCUUUCGCCUGUGACGAAGCGUGAGUGACGGUAAUGGGUAAAGAAGCACCGGCUAACUACGUG